rnacentral:lncRNA from 1 species
CUUUGGGAAAGGCUUCCCAAUCUUUGGAGGCUCGUAGAUUGGAGGCUUAGGGAAUGGCUUGUCAAUCUUGGGAGGCUUUGGAAAAGGCUUGUCAACCUUCGGAGGCUCGUAAACUGGAGGCUUUGGAAAUGGCUUGUCGAUCUUGGGAGGCUCAUAAACUGGAGGCUUUGGAUAUGGCUUGUCAAUCUUGGGAGGCUUUGGGAAUGGCUUCUCAAUCUUGGGAGGUUUUGGGAAUGGCUUCUCAAUCUUUGGAGGCUUGGGAAAUGGCUUGCCAACCUUCGGAGGCUCGUAAACUGGAGGCUUUGGGAAUGGCUUGUCAAUCUUGGGAGGCUUUGGGAAUGGCUUAUCAAUCUUGGGAGGCUUUGGGAAAGGCUUGUCAAUCUUGGGAUGUUCGUAAAAUGGUGGCUUAGAGUAAUCAGCAAGAGAUGGAGUGGCGAGAAGUACCACCACCCCAAGGAGCAACACUGGCAAGUAUGUUAGAGACAUCUUCUU